AGCUCUCUGAGGGUCAGCACCCACCUCAGAGAUCCUGAAGGACAAGUGAAAGAUCCCACGCAGAGAGAUCCUUAUUCAAGUCUUGGGAAAUCGCGGACCCCAGACACAGAGAGACCA
rnacentral:pre_miRNA from 14 species